GGAAGUAACAGUCGUAACAAGGUUUCCGUAGGUGAACCUGCGGAAGGAUCAUUAUUGUAUAACCGAGGUGCGAGGGCUGUCGCUGACCCGAAAGGUCGUGCACGCCCGAGUGCCCUCACACACAUCCAUCUCACCCCUAUGUGCACCACCGCGUGGGUCACCCUUUGGCUUGUUCGGAGGGGGGCUUACGUUUUCACACAAACUUUGUAUGCAGUGUAGAAUGUAUUUUUUGUUUUUGCGAUCACGCAAUCAAUACAACUUUCAUCAACGGAUCUCUUGGCUCUC
rnacentral:misc_RNA from 1 species